CACGCACGCACGCAACAUGUACAUACAUGACCACAGUCUCUGGCUGCUGUGGUCAGAAAGUGGCCUGUCCCCAGCAGCCUGAGACUCUCUCUCUCUCUCUCUCUCUCUCUCUCUCUCUCUCUCUCUCUCUCUCUCUCUCUCUCUCUCUGUGUGUGUGUGUGUGUGUGUGUGUGUGUGUGUGUGUGUGUGUGUGUGUGUUGAAUAUGGGUGAAGGUAACCACUUUUUGUGUAGUUUAGGUGUUGACAGGCAAAUAAACAAAAAUGAAAUCGUUGCUAAGUUUUCAGGCACACUCCUGCUCUGAGAGCUAAUGAGCUAAAAACUAUACACACAGCAUUCUGAUGCUGCAACCUUACAGGCUUGUGGGACAAUAUAGUUGUAGUUAUUGAAGAAGAGAGAGAACUUUUUUUUUACCUUAUAGGUUCCAUUGAGUUAACUUUAGUGGUAAUACUCCACUGCAAUAAGUUUGUGUAUGUUUCAAUUUGCCCCCUCCCUCUAAUUAGUCUGUCAGCUCUGAAGGACAACCUCAGCACUAAUUUAAAUAUUGUAUACAUACCCAUUGACUGCACAACACCUGGAGUAUUCAGUGGGUGAUUACUUUUAUGUCUUACACUGUUUGUAUUCUGUUCAGGACUUUCCGAGUUCUAGCAUUGGUUUGUGUGUGAAGAGAGACUUUUUUAGUUGCAUAUCAUAUGUUGAGUCUCGUCGUAACAUGGUUAAUCAGAUAUCUGAGAGCUGUUCUCUUUCUUUCUUUUCUUGAAUAAGGGGGGUGUGGGCAGAGCUGCAAGUUCCCAACCACCCGUCCUUGUAGUUUACUAACGGUGACACGUUAUUACUUUCUGUCCUUCGAAGAUCAAACAUAUGGUGUCUUACUAUGUCCUUUUAUCUGUGAGAUACAGCAUGACUAUUUUUGUGAGUAAUUUGCUAAAAUUUGAUUAAUUUCUUGCAAAUGUUGUGUAAAUUUUUAAGAUUGAUAGUAUUUCUAGUGAGGCUACAUCUAAAGUAUAUGAUACAAUCAGCUUUGUUCCAGUUUCGUUGGUAAUCACAAUAACUGUGCUUUUGCAUUUUUUUCAAUCAUUACUGGUCAGAAAUGGCAUCAAGAAAAGAAGUAUUUUAUUUAUACACUGCAUAAGAUAUCAGAGAAAUAGUCUGUAUGUUUGUUUGCAAGUCUGAAAAUUGACAUGAGAGAUUAUUUGAAGAUUCUAAUGAUUAAAGGUAAACUGUUUAACUAAAUCUACUUGUCAAGCUUGCAGACAUGACAGGUAGUCAAAAAUAUAAGCUGAAUUUUAGGAACCUCAGAAUAUUUGUUUGGCGACUGAGUAAUGGACUUACUGUGAAAUUAUCCAGUCAGUACAUUGAUAGCAUCAAAUACAAUUAAUCCGACGUGUGUGGUAUAAAGCCUCCUCCAUCCGUACUUCCUUCUCUGUGAGUCUCUAAAGGUUCAGAUUUAUUUUCCAAGUCAUAAGGUAUGUUUCAAUAAUUUGUGCCAACUAUCAGCAUGACUACUUUCUUUUUGCAGAUGUCAUUCUUGAUGAAAAGCUUGAAUUAUUAAGAGGAAGAUGCUUCUUUGCCCAAUACAGUACGCCUGUACCAGAUCAGUUCAGUACAAAACUCUUUGCUCCCAAAGACAUUAGAACAUCUUACACCAGUAAAUUAGAGAUUUAUGCCUGAAGGCUACCAAAUUGUGUGUAUGCACCGAGUUAUAAGAGCCUGGUUGAUGUCGAAUGCAUGGUUGCCUCGUGGUUUCAGUCCGUAGAGUAUUUUUGUGUGUGUGAUGUCAGAGUUUAGAUGUUCUUCAUUAAAGGCGUACGUUUCAAUUCUUUGGUGUUGAAGUUAUUGCAAAAAGGUCUUCAUCCACCUCUGAAACUGAUAUUAACUACUACAGUAAAAAAGGAGAAAGGUAUUCGUUGUCAAGAAACAUACAGCUGUGAAAUUUAGAAAAGCAAACGACUUUGUGGUGACAAGUAUAAGAGUAUUAGGACAGGUGUAACAAUACUGUGUAAGACAAAGAAUUGUGAUGUUUGCUGUUGUAAAAAUAUAUAUACUGAAGUUUAGAUGAGAAGGAACUUUGUUUGAUGUACGUUCAAAAAAAUCAAGCGCACACAUUCUCACUGGGCCUGAUUGAUCAAAUAUCACCAUUAUGGAAGCAAUCACAAAAGAAGCAUCAGUCAAAUGAUAUAGCAUUUUUGUUUAUCAUUUAUUGAAAGGCCUGAAUAAUAGGAGCAAGCAUGGCCAUUGCAAUACUGAAUGGCAUAUGUGCUUUUAUUGAUGAACACAUUAAUGAAGACAGGAUUCAUUAUUACUCAGAUCUCUGCUGAAAGUAUCCUGAAUUUUAAGAACUGGUGACCUCUGUUUGGGAUGGGGUGGGUGGAGGGUGCGAAGUUCCUGGAAAAGUCCUUCAAUAUCCAAGUACAGGCCGUUAGAACACUUCUUACCUAAGGUUAUUUAACCACAGCUGAGUUCGGCAUACAUUGGAAAAAAUCCAAUACCAGACAGGAAGAUCUGGGUUGUACAUGACAUAGUUACUUGCAUUCCAUAUGAGUGUAGUCUGUUUUAUGAGGAGGUACUAAUGAGGCCAAAAGCAGUAAAAGUGAAGGACAGUAAUUAUAUUUAAAAUAAAUUUCAUAGAUAAUGGUUUCAAAACCUUUAAAUAGAAUAGACAUUUCCUGUAAAUGUUGUAUCAUGAAAGUUUUGUGAAAAUAUAAAUAUAUCUGAUGUUGUAAUAAUAAGUUUUAAUGCUUAAUACAUAAUCAGUUUGAAGAAGGAAACAAAUCCUCAGUCAUUAAUUUGCUGAUGUAUCUUUCUGGACAUAACAUUUCAUCUUUCCAUGCCACUGAGAUGGCUGGUUAAUGUAAACAAACUUGUAUAAUUCUUUGGUUAAGACAAGAUUACAAAUAAGAACAGGAGAUGGUUUUUUGUUUUUCCUACAGAUGGGGCUUUUGAAUUUCUUACUUCUUCAAACUACCAAUUCAGUUCCGAUUGCAAUAUUGUUGUUGUCAGAUAUUUCCAAUAUCCAAUAUCUUUGCUUCAAGUAUUGUGUAUUUUUAUGCCCUUGUGGACUUGUAUCAGUGCUUUUUUAAAGUGAAGGAGAUCUCUGAAAACUGUCAGUGAUAGACAAAAAAUACAUAAUAUUGACUGAAGAUACUUAUUGAAAUAGCUUUUAAAUUUUAUUUUUUUGUGUUAUUUGGAAGUUUGAAAUAAAUAUCUUCUAAAAAGUUGA